rnacentral:rRNA from 1 species
GACGAACGCUGGCGGCGUGGAUUAGGCAUGCAAGUCGAACGGUAUCAUCCUUUCGGGGGUGAGAGAGUGGCGAACUGGUGAGUAACACGUAGGUUAUCUACCCUCAAGACGGGGACAACCCAGGGAAACUUGGGCUAAUACCGGAUGUGAGCAACUUUUAGUUGUUUGAAAGGUGGCGUAAGCUGUCGCUUGGGGAUGAGCCUGCGUCCUAUUAGUUAGUUGGUGAGGUAACGGCUCACCUAGGCAAUGAUAGGUAGGCGGCCUUAACGGGUGGUCGCCCACACUGGGAUUGAGAUACGGCCCAGACUCCUACGGGAGCAGCAGUCGAGAAUAGUCUACAAUGGUCGGAAGACUGAUAGUGCGACGCCGCGUGAACGAUGAAUCCCUUCGGGUGUAAAGUUUCUUUUAUAUGUGAGCAGUGCUUCUUAUAUUAACAGUAUGGGGAGAGAGAUAUUAGCAAUAUAGAAUAAGCAAACGGUCUAAACUCCGUGCCACGCCGCCGCGGUAAAC